UACAGAGGGUGCAAGCGUUAAUCGGAAUUACUGGGCGUAAAGCGUGUGUAGGUGGUUAGAUAAGUUAGAUGUGAAAUCCCCGGGCUUAACCUGGGCACUGCGUUUAAGACUGUUUAACUAGAGUACUGUAGAGGAUAGUGGAAUUUCCAGUGUAGCGGUGAAAUGCGUAGAUAUUGGAAGGAACACCAGUGGCGAAGGCGACUAUCUGGACAGAUACUGACACUGAGACACGAAAGCGUGGGGAGCAAACAGG
rnacentral:rRNA from 1 species